CAUUCGAGUGGCGGACGGGUGAGUAACGCGUGGGUAACCUGCCUUACACAGGGGGAUAACACCUGGAAACAGGUGCUAAUACCGCAUAAGCGCACAGGGCCGCAUGGCCCGGUGUGAAAAACUCCGGUGGUGUAAGAUGGACCCGCGUCUGAUUAGGUAGUUGGCGGGGUAACGGCCCACCAAGCCGACGAUCAGUAGCCGACCUGAGAGGGUGACCGGCCACAUUGGGACUGAGACACGGCCCAAACUCCUACGGAAGGCAGCAG
rnacentral:rRNA from 1 species